rnacentral:tRNA from 1 species
AGGGAGUUAGUCCAAAAAAGACCUCUGAUUUCGGCUCAGAAAAUCAUGAUUAAAGUCCAUGACACCCUU